rnacentral:rRNA from 1 species
AGCAAUAGCUACUUGCACCAACAAAUAGUUGAUGCAAGAUCGACUCUGUCGAAUAAAAUUCUAGGUAGAAUUAUGAUAAUGACAUUAUCUGCCUAUGUGUCUUGACCAAAUUACGUGCCAGCUGUCGCGGUAAUACGUAGAAGACUAGUGUUAUUCAUCUUUAAUAGGUUUAAAGGGUACCUAGACGGUAAAUCAAGCCUUGAGGAGGGACUAAUUUACUAGAGUUACUUGUGAGGGGGUAUUAAAGUACUGCUGGUGUAGAGAUGAAAUUCUGUGAUACCUCUUUUCCUAAAGAAAAAUAAUGGCACAGGUAUAGGCGAAAGCAUCCCCUUAUGUGAUAACUGACGUUGAGGGACGAAGGCUUUGUGUAGCGAACAGGAUUAGA